GGGCCUUUAGCUCAGUUGGUAGAGCGCCACGUUUACACCGUGGAUGUCAUCGGUUCGAGCCCGGUAGGGCCCACCG
rnacentral:tRNA from 3 species